UACAGAGGUCUCAAGCGUUGUUCGGAUUCACUGGGCGUAAAGGGUGCGUAGGUGGCUUGAAAAGUUUGAUGUGAAAGCUCAGGGCUUAACCCUGAAAUGGCAUUGAAUACUGUCGAGCUGGAGGUUUGGAGGGGGGACUGGAAUUCUUGGUGUAGCAGUGAAAUGCGUAGAUAUCAAGAGGAACACCAGUGGCGAAGGCGAGUCCCUGGACAACACCUGACACUGAGGCACGAAAGCUAGGGGAGCAAACAGG
rnacentral:rRNA from 1 species